CACAGACACACACAGGUUCUGCAAGGUUGUUAUCAUACUUACCAGCCUUAGAGUUGCUCAUGCCAAGCCACUGGCCAGGUGGCCUGGACAUGAGGAGAGAUAAGAGAACCAUAACAGGAAACAUUCUGGCAGAAUGAGUGAAAUUUGAAAGUGAGCCUAUUCCCCCCACCAACUCUGUUCUCUGUAAUUUGGUUGCAUUGGUCGUUGCAAUAAGAUUAAUUCUCUAAGACCAGAAGUGGGGAAAGUACAUUGUUCCAGUGUCUUAUUCUUUGUCCACUGCAUUUAACUCCUGGAGUUUCACCUUCCAUACCAGUUUCUAAUCCAUGACAGCACUUUGUCACACCCUAGGACUGCUCAACGGAUUUUACUCCAUGAUCUCUUCUCAGCCACCGACUGGAAAGAUAUGAAGAGGAAGCAUGCCUAGGAGCUCUGAUCCUAUAUGAAGUGCACUGAUCUGGAAUUGUGGAGAGGAGAGAUGAGAAAAGAGCGGAGUCUGGACAGUUGGAAGAAGGAUUUUGAAUUUAGCCUGGUCUACACUAGAAAAUCAGAGCUGCAUGUCUGCUGGGAGCAUCAGUUUAUUCUGCAAAAUGAAACCGUUUCUCUUUGACAACCAGAGUGAUCAGUUUCCUCCACUUGGACAGGAACUGGGUUGCCAACACCAGCUGCAGAUCUGACUACAGCAGAGUGUGUGGGGUGGCUUACCUUUAGAGGUAGAUGUUGUUGCACAUUUGCUACUAAGACAUACUUGAAAUGACAUUUCAUAUCCUGUUAUCACCAACUGAGUUUGUUUUGCAAUCAAACACAAAAUAUUAGAAAUGUCUGUUUAGAUUGUAGUAAUAUUUUCAGUGCUGUCAUCUACUUGAGUUAAUUUUGAAAGCUAGAAUAGGAUAACUUACUGUAACCUCACCUUUUUAAAGCCGAUUUCCAGAUAGCAUUUAGCACUAAGCGUUUGAAAGGUGCUGAAUACCCCCAAUUUAAAUAGUGUAAUUAUGUGGAGACGUACUUGUAGAAAGCUUUCUCUUCCCACCCCUCAAGUAGGGUUACAUACGAGUUUUUGUUACCUUUACUUGACAGCAGACCAUGGCUGGCUCUAGGUUUUUUGCCACCCCAAGCAAAAAAUUUCAAGCCAAAAAAAAAAAAAAAAAAAAGGGUGGCCGGAAUGUCUCCCCUGGAAUUAUGCCUCCCCAAGCACGUGCUUGCUUUGCUGGUGCCUAGAGCUGGUUCUCCGAAAAGAUUCCAUAAACUCUAAAAGCAAUUUUCUUUUGAAGAAAUGUCCUAAAUUUUAGAAAUACUUAGCCUUACCUUACUUCCUGACACAAUGUUCAAUAGUUUGUUUUCUUUAGGAGGAGUCUAUUUACAUUCUACUUUAUAACUGCACAUUUGCAAGAAAAAUUACUCAAUGAAAUACAGGGACUGACUUGAGAAAUGCAGCCUCCAGUUUUUCACUCAGUUUUAUGCUUGCAAUUGAUUGUGAAUGUGAAAAUGCCAGCUUAGAACCAUUUUAAAAAUCAGGCCUAUUACCUUGUGUCACUAGAUACGGAAAGAAGAGAUUCAGAAGAAUAACCUCAGU